UACGUAGGGGGCAAGCGUUGUCCGGAUUUAUUGGGCGUAAAGAGCGUGUAGGCGGCCAGGUAGGUCAGCUGUGAAAACUCGAGGCUCAACCUCGAGACGUCGGUUGAAACCAUCUGGCUAGAGUCCGGAAGAGGAGAGUGGAAUUCCUGGUGUAGCGGUGAAAUGCGCAGAUAUCAGGAAGAACACCCGUGGCGAAGGCGGGUCUCUGGGCAGUAACUGACGCUGAGGAGCGAAAGCGUGGGGAGCGAACAGG
rnacentral:rRNA from 1 species